CAUCUUCCAGUAACAUCAAUUUUAUUUUUUACCAGACAAAGUGAUACGACUACAUUGCCAUGCAUACCUCCUACCUUCAUCAUGUAAAACUGACCUUAGUUGUGUGAUAUGACAGCAAACAUUUGAUGCUGACCAGCGUAACAUGUUAGCUUCACAAAAGAAACAUCAAAACUGAAAUUCAACCAUAAAAUACUACAGUAUAGCAAGAUAUGGCGUCAUUUUGUGUACGCACAACUUGUGUAUCUCAUAGUUUAAACCAAAAUGGUUUUAAUAUCAAAUCAUAGACACAGAGAGUAGCACAACGGCUAUCAUAAGAUACAGUGUUGUAUUUUAACACUGUUUAGCCUGUAUAUUAGCUUGAUAUCUAUUUUUGAUGGCUGGCAAAAAGUUGCAAAAAGCAGCAGCAAAAGGAGGAGGAGAGCACUGUUUGACCUAACCAAGUGGUUUUUGUGCCUAAACCUAACCAACAAGAUGCAAAAAGGUUAAAAAUGUAGCACUAAAUUGCCAUAUCACCUGCAUACAAAAUCAGACUUUGGCGUAUGCCCUGCAUGCACAUUUGAAAGUGUAAAAGUCGUUAUAUUUGUAUGCAUUGUGAGACCAGGUUUAUGGUUUAGCUGUAGAGUUGGGUGAUAUUUUUCUGUGGGUUUCGACAGUUUAACAUUUAGGUAAUACAAAAACUAAAAUAUGUAACUUAAAAAGCAAAAAGUGAAGUGAGGGACAAGACAAGAUGUGUGAAAUUUGAAAGACACCUUUGUUACAUGGAUUUACAUUUAUGAUGAAUGAAAAUUUACUGAAAGAAAUUUACUACUACUUAUUUGUAUGCAUCUAUAUUGCUAUGCAGGGAAUUGUAUGGUAUUCUUCACAUUGUUUUAGAUGUGACUCCUUUUUACGAGUCCUCCUGUCAUUGUUUGUCAAAUAGUUGCUGGAUAUCAUCUGCAUAAUACUUAUUGUACACACAAGUAAAAUGUGAUGUAACUGGGUGGUAAAGCAGAGGAGUACUGAAACCCACAACUGAACACUGUCUUCUCUCUCCUCCUGCUGUUCUUAAUGCAAUUACCAACCAGGACUGGAGUGGACCGCACUGGACAGCAUUCAGGAUGAGGCAGGAAAAGAAAAACACAGUUGUGGCGAAAAGUCGAAAGAAUAAUGAAAGCACAAAAUUAAUUAUCAUCUCGCCAAGGGCAUUCGCAACCCUCGCUUUAAAAGACAGAAAGAAAGAAACUUUGUUGCUGAAUUACUGUGCAAAAAUUUGGAAAAUGAAUGACACACACACACACACACACAAAAAGACAGGGAGAGGGAGAGAGUGUCGGACAAAAGGUGAGCACGGUUUGCCGAUCUUACCCCUUUCCAUUCAUCUAUCCCUCCCUUUAUCACCCCCUCCGUCGUCCCCUCUGUCCGCGCUGUCAUUCUCUCUGUCCCCUCUGUGCUCCUGCCUUUUGUCUGGGUCCGCCAGACUCUGGCCGGACCCAGACAAAAGAAUGCUGCCUGUCAUGGAGAAAGAGCAAAGGUCUUGGCGAUCCGGAGAGGUGGGGUGGGGGUUGGAGGGGUGGCUGGGUGUCAGGGUUGGAAAGGCAUUGUCAAAGCUGUGGGUAUCUAUUGUUGUCUCGCUCCUGAUCCUUUGCCUACCUUGCCCAUCUCCUCUUGUCUCCGUUUUCUUUCUCGUCCUCUGUCCAGUUUGUCCGUGGACCUCUGUCUUUCUUAGGAGCGAGCGGAAGUGUAGAGAAAGGAAAAUGCGACAGAUGUCUGGCAUGAGGCUGUUUGCACUUUUAUCGACGUGGCUGCUUUAAGCUCGAUGGCGUUCCGGGCUGUCCGCUCCCUUCCUCUUGUGGUGUUGGUAGUUCGUACCCCAGGGGAGCUCUCAGGACAGCAGACUGAAACCUACCGACACCUGGCAGUAAUCUCGGUAAUCAUGGAGAGACUCUGCAGCUGAUACGAAGGGACACAUAAAAGGCAGCGAGCUAAGAGAACAACGAGCAGGGGGCAUCCUGGUCCGAAGGGGAGGAAACCCAGGUAUUGAUGACUAGAGCCGGUUCUCAGUGGGCCUCGGUGUCAGCGUUGUCCUGCUCCGGGUCAUGUUGGAUUUAAAGAGAGGCUGGAAAUCCCCCGAUGAAUCAACAUUUAACACUUUGCUGCCACGUCAACCAAAAAGCUGCAAACGUUUUUUUGGACAUUUGAAGGAAAGAACUCCAGCAUGUUGGCUGUGGUUAAGAUUUGGAUAAUUUUCUGCCUCAACAGCCUUGAUACCAGAAAGCUGUGCAGAUGUGAUCAGCUUUCGCCUGUCUGUGCAAAAAAACAUUUGAUUUUGAAGGUUUCAAGUUGGUUUCUUUUUGUUUUAACUGAGCUGGCACGUUUUUGAUGGACUGUAUCAGUAAUCUGUUUGAAGAUGAUUGGGGGACUGGAUAAGACUGGAUAAGAUUUUAUAACACCAAAAAAAAAACUCACAGAUGAAAAAGCUUUGACUGUGUCUGAGUUCUUUUAGAACAUUUACAUACCUGAGUAUUGUACCAGCCAUACAAAUAUUUACUGUUUCUGUUUUGCAGGGUCCUAACUAACAGUAGAUGAAUCUUUGUGAAGAUAUGGGGAAAUCAUCUUUCUUUUUUACUUCCUUUUUGUCUGAAUCUUUGGUUCGCUUUAAAUUUGACUGUAACUUUGUAAAUGGAACAAAUGCAGUAUAAUAUACAUUAUAUUCAGUGUAAGAUAAGAUAUGAUAAACUUCACUGAUCCCAAUCAAGGAAAUUAAAAGUGUUACAACAGCAAAAGGAACACGAAUCAAUGCAUAGAAUGAAUAAAUAUCCUUUCUUAUAUACUAAUAAAUACUGUCCUGUACAAUAUUGCAAUCUGAGACACAGGACACUUUAUCCACCAGCAAAUUCCAUUCAAUCAAGUGCAAUCUUUGUAUUUAACAUGUUAUUGCUUACUUAUUUGUGACUGUUUUUGACUCAAUGCACUAUUUAUUUUGCUUUAUAUAUUAUAUGCUUCGUUGUGUGUGUAGUACACACUCAUAAUGUAUCUACUAUUCUAGUUCUUUAAAGUGGCUCUUCAGUUUCCCUGCAUGGGAUCAUAAAAGUUUAUCUUAUCUAAAUCCUACACAUGCUCUGCUGCAUUUGCUCCAUUUACAAGGUGACUAUUUUUAUGUGAUGCUCAUAAUACCUGACAUGACAUGAAAUAUGCAAACCAAAUGUAAGCCAAGCUACUGUACUUAUUUCCACCUAUCAUGACACAUUGACAUGUUCAUGUCCCAACCUGCCCAACAACGUCAGAUCAACUUUUAACUCUCUCCCUCACAGUGUUGCUCUUCCAUUAACUGGCUCUUCUGUUUUGUAUUUUACAUGUGUGUCCUUUGACAUUUGAAUAUGUUGCAUAUUGUUUCAGAUCUCAUAUCCAAAUAAAUUUCCAUGUAUCAGUUCUAAUUUGUGUAUUCUGACAUCACUGCGUACUGUUCAGCUCAGGGGAUUGUUUUGUUGUCUUUUGUUGGAGUAAAUAAACUGUCACUUUAAUAUUUCAUAACUUUUCCAAUGAUGAUGUUAAAUCUCUGCUGUAUAUAUUAUAUUAUGUUUAUGUUGUGUUAUUAAGUAUUUUCUUGAAAUUAAAUUAUAUGGCAUGAAACAAAGUUUACAGCCUCAGUGUGUGCUGAAAAGGAUUUAUUAGCAGGAGUAAGUGGAUUUCAAACCCACUCUGUAUGAAGAGAUAAAUGUACAGUGUACUGAUCCUGUAGAGUAAAACGUAUGUGAUGUGAUGAAGAUAUGAGGGAAAUCAAUGUAAUUUAUCUGAAAUAAUUAUAUGCUUCAUAUUAUAGUGGUUGCUUUACAAAGAUCAUGAUUAUAAUUGAAGCAGAUUAUAUUUUACGACGACAUUAUUGAUGAUCAGAUGAUUUUUUGUUGCUUGUAGUGUAAUAAAUAUAGCGAGUGAUGUAAGAGCAGUACAGUAAGCCCAAUGUUCUCUUCAGAGGCCUGGUGCUGAGAUAGAGACGUCUUACAGUCGCAUCUAAAUAAAGCCUCGAUGCUGUCAUUUCA